AUGGGGAGAGGAGGCCGCGUUUUGCUGCUAGCCUUCGUCCUUUUCCUCACGUCACACUUGACGACGCCGGCGUCCGCUGCCACGAAGUCCUGUUUGCUUGUCUUGAGUGACCUGACGUCUUGGCCUGCUCUGAUCGCUGGAGUCACCAACCAGUACGAACAAUUGUAUCUCUUCAAGGAAAUCAGCGCCAUCGGGUUGCAGAUCGACAACAGCUUGUUCCCGGACAGGCUUCACAAGGUCCAAACGACGCGUUCCUGGGAGUUCCUCGGGCUGGAGAGCGGCGGCGAGCCGAAGGAGUGGAAGUACGACGCCAAGUUCGGCGAGGGGGUCGUCAUUGGAAACGUCGACACUGGUGUAUCGCCGACAUCCCAAAGCUUCCGGGACGACGGCUUCGGCGCGCCGUCGGGGUGGCGUGGCAAAUGCGAUUCCGGCGAAGACUCCACGUUCCACUGCAACAAAAAGUUGAUCGGCGCGAGGAUUUUCAACGCCGGCAUCCAGGUGCCGAAUUUCCUGGACCAGCCGGUGGAAGGCAAGCAGCUGAACCAGACUGACCUGAACUCGCCGCGGGACUACGACGGGCACGGCUCGCACACUCUGUCCACCGCGGGCGGCGGUUUCGUCCAGGGCGCCAGCGCCUUCGGCCGCGGGAAGGGCACGGCCAAGGGCGGCUCGCCGCGGGCGCGCGUGGCCUCGUACAAGGCGUGCUACACGGCGGGGUGCUCCAGCCUGGACAUCCUCGCGGCCAUACUCGCGGCGGUCGAGGACGGCGUGCACGUGCUGUCGCUCUCGGUGGGCGCGCCGGCCGCGGACUACGUCGCUGACCUCAUGGCGAUCGGCACGUUGUACGCGGUCCACAAGGGGGUCGCCGUCGUGGCCUCCGCCGGCAACUCGGGCCCGCAGCCAGGCUCCGUGAGCAAUCUGGCUCCUUGGAUCCUCACGGUCGGCGCAAGCACCAUGGACAGAGACUUCGCAGCUGAUGUUGUCUUCGGCAACAGCACCAUCAAGGGACGAAGUCUAUCAGCGAGCACUCUGCCUGUUGGCCAGCCAUAUCCGAUGAUCAGCGGGCAGAACGCCUGCGCCGCGGAUCAAUCCAUCGACAACUCGACGUUGUGUUUUCCCGGUUCUCUGGACCCUGCCAAGGUGAGAGGCAAGAUAGUUGUGUGUACCAGGGGAGUGAACGGCAGAGUCGAGAAGGGGCUGGUGGUGAAGCAGGCCGGUGGCAUCGGGAUGGUCCUUUGCAACGACGCCGGCGGCGUGGACAUAAUCGCCGACCCGCACCUCCUUCCAGCGGUUCACUGCUCCUACUCACAGUGCUGGGAUCUCUUCAAGCACCUACAGUCCACCCAAUUUCCGGUCGGUUACAUCACAGCGAAGGACGAACUUGGCGUGAAGCCAGCGCCGGUGAUGGCAGACUUCUCGUCACGUCGGCCAAACACCAUCACUCCUCAGAUCCUCAAGCCUGACGUGACGGCGCCCGGCGUCGACGUGAUCGCCGCGUACAGCGAGGAAGCUCCGGCAACCGACCUGCCUUUCGAGGACCGCCGUGUCCCCUACAACAUGGUGUCCGGCACCUCCAUGUCGUGCCCCCACGUGGCGGGCGUCGCCGGCCUGAUCAAGGCGAAGCACCCCGACUGGAGCCCCGCGAUGAUCAAGUCGGCGAUCAUGACCACCGCAUUCACCGAAGCCAACGACGAGGGCCAAAUCCGGGACGAGACCGGCGCGGCCGCCACCACGUUCAGCUACGGCUCCGGCCACGUGAACCCCGUCCAGGCCCUGGACCCCGGCCUGGUGUACGGCACUACGCCGUACGACUACGCCAACUUCCUCUGCUCCGUGCGGCCGACCCAGACGCAGAACCUGAUCCCCUUGCCCCUCCCUCUGUUCGUCGGCGCCAAUGCCAACCCGUUCCAGUGCAGCCUUGGCGCCUACCGCCCCGAGAACCUCAACUACCCGUCCAUCUCCGCGGCCUGCCUCCCCGGCUCCGGCACCACCACGGUGAAGCGCCGGGUGAGGAACGUGGGCGCGGGGCCGUGGCUCCAGUACAACGUCACCGUCGUGCAGCCGGCUGCGGGGGUCAGGAUCACGGUGCAGCCAGGCACGCUGAGCUUCGGUAAAAUCAACGAGGAGAAGGAGUUCACGGUGAAGCUGGACGUCUAUGACACUGCCAUGGCCGGCCAUGUGUUCGGCAGCAUUGAGUGGUCAGACGGGAAGCACCGCGUCCGGAGCCCCGUCGUGGCCACCACCAAGUGCGGGUAG
rnacentral:rRNA from 1 species